ACGCUCGACACCUACGGGAGGCAGCAGGGAAUCUUCCACAAUGGACGCAAGUCUGAUGGAGCAACGCCGCGUGAGUGAAGAAGGUUUUCGGAUCGUAAAGCUCUGUUGUUGGUGAAGAAGGAUAGAGGUAGUAACUGGCCUUUAUUUGACGGUAAUCAACCAGAAAGUCACGGCUAACUACGUGCCGGCAGCCGCGGUAAUCUGAGCGGGCUGGCAAGGC
rnacentral:rRNA from 1 species